rnacentral:rRNA from 1 species
CCUACGGGUGGCAGCAGUGAGGAAUAUUGGUCACUGGGCGUAAGCCUGAACCAGCCAAGUAGCGUGAGAGCUGAAGGUUCUACGGAUUGUAAACCUCUUUUAUAAAGGAGUAAAGUGCGGCACGUGUGCCGUUUUGUAUGUACUUUCUGCAUAAGGAUCGGCUAACUCAGUGCCAGCAGCCGCGGUAAUACGUCGGAUCCGAUCGUUAUCCGGAUUUAUUGGGUUUAAAGGGUUUGUAGGCGGCUUUUUAAGUCAGCUGUGAAAGUCUGUGGCUCAACCGUAAAAUGGACAUGGAUACUGGGAGUCUUGAGUACAGUGGAGGCAGGCGGAAUUCGUGGUGUAGCGGUGAAAUGCUUAGAUAUCACGAAGAACCCCGAUUGCGAAGGCAGCCUGCCAAGCUAUGACUGACACUGAUGCACGAAAGCGUGGGGAUCAAACAGGAUUAGAUACCCUAGUAGUC